GGGAGCGCAUGCAGUCAGGUGGCUGUCCCCGUCUUCAAAACUGGUGGGCGGCAUUGAACGAUGUCGCCGGUCGGAUCGUUACCGACGCGCUCCCGCCA
rnacentral:tRNA from 1 species